GGCCCCGUAGCUCAGAGGACAGAGCGGCGGCGUCCUAAGCCGCGCGGCGGGCGUUCGAGUCGCCCCGGGGCCGCCG
rnacentral:tRNA from 1 species